UACGUAGGGCGCAAGCGUUGUCCGGAAUUAUUGGGCGUAAAGAGCUCGUAGGCGGUUUGUCGCGUCUGCUGUGAAAACCUGAGGCUCAACCUCGGGCUUGCAGUGGGUACGGGCAGACUAGAGUGCGGUAGGGGUGACUGGAAUUCCUGGUGUAGCGGUGGAAUGCGCAGAUAUCAGGAGGAACACCGAUGGCGAAGGCAGGUCACUGGGCCGCAACUGACGCUGAGGAGCGAAAGCAUGGGGGAGCGAACAGGA
rnacentral:rRNA from 1 species